rnacentral:tRNA from 1 species
GCAUCGGUUUUUCAGUGGUAGAAUGCUCGCCUGCCACGCGGGUUCGAUUCCCGGCCGAUGCA